rnacentral:lncRNA from 1 species
CUGAAGAAGGCAGGGGCUCUAAGCAGCAGCCUUCUCCUCCCUUCUCUCCUCAAAACUCCUACUCCUCCUUGCUGCUCUUCUUUUGUCUCCUCAGACACAAUAAACCCAAGUCAAAUGUGAGGAGGAAGGCAAGAACAAGCAAGAGAGGAACUAGACAUCUGGCUAAACUUUGACUGCAAAGAGAAAGAAAAGUGUUGAUCCACCAUGAAGGGAAUGAAGAGGAAGAAUCCCAGAUGAAGAAUUUGGAGCCACUCCACAAGAUGAAUGUCAAUUUGUGGGACCAUUCCAUGCAGAUGCAUCCAUGUAGCCAGAGGAUGAAAUUAACAGAAGGGAAAUUAGACAGCUUUGUGGAAAGCUCUCCUGAAUUCUCCCGUUCAUCUGUCCACAUCCUGCAACACCUUGGGACAAGAAGGUAACUUUCACCUGGGAUAGCUACAGAUCAAAACGUUAGACUCUUUAGUUGGUGUGCUCUACAUUCCCUUCUGAUCACCUUCCCAAAACAGGAUCAUUAAUGAUGAAUUCAAGAAUAACUGGUAUUUAAUAUUAGAAGUAGCGUUAGUAUGAUACACCAGAAGCCUCUACUUCUAAAACACUACAAAUUCUUCUUAGUGAAGAUCCUGGGUCUGAAGUAGCCUGCUGUUAAAUUACAUUAAAGCACAAUUUAAUCAUGAA